rnacentral:lncRNA from 1 species
UCCCCCUCGUGGUUGGGGGCUCUUACAUGGUAUUUGACGGGUCGGGCUCGGAUGUGCGCAUUUCCGGACCUUAAGUUGUAUCUAUUGCACCGGGGACUGGGUACUCCCAUACCUCGCUGAGCUCGCCUCGUCGGAGCCCACCGUCCCCGAAGGUGCGUGCACGGACCACUUGGACUCCGUGUCUUGGCCAAGGCUUAGGGUCAGACUUCAGGCUCCCUCCUUCCUGCACCGACCCAUUUCUUCUCCUCCAGAGAGGUUCAGAGGCCGAAGCUGAGCCUCCCACAGAA